UUUGAUUUGAAUAAAGUUAACUUUAGAGCCUCAGUGGAAAUGUAUGUAGCAUGACACAUAAAAAGGACCAAGCUCACAGAAGGAACGUAUUUCUACCUGCUACAUUAUCUACAUUUUGAACGACAAUGGACAGAACCAGCUACUUUUAUGAACAGCAGCUUGAAUGCACCUGCUGCACGGAGGAUCGCCAGGACCAAAAGGUUUCUCUAGCUUUCAACAGUGAGUAUAGAUCUGUAGGCUGACACUGGACAGGAGAUUGUCAGGGGGUAACCCUGGGGAAAUGAGGGAGGGCAGGAGGCUCUGCCAGCCUUGCCAUGUCCGCCAUUUCCGCUGUCUGACGCACCCCCACGCUGCACAGCCUCCUCCCUCGGCACAUUGGAAACAUCAAUCACUGCUAUGAUCUUGCUGAAAGACUGAGGCUCACCCAGCAUAGCAGCUCAGCAAUAAAAACUCUAUUUACGAUCUUACGUCCGCUGCUCGCUGAUCCUGAAAUACUAUUGCACUUUCCCCAGCUUAAACCAGCCCUAACCACCGGCCCACCUCAGAUAGCUCCCCCACCCAGCCUCUGUGGCCAC